UUCUUUUACUGAUAUACUGAUUUCAGUCUCAACUACAGCUGUUGCACGAAGGAGGAAGAUUAAAGAAGCUUCUGCCCCAAAAGAGUCUGAGACAUCUAAAAGCGACAAACCAAACGAAAGUGAUUCGAUCGUCACGGAUAAGAAGCCCACGAGCUCGAAACCCCCAACGGGUUCGAAGCGUAAAGCUUCUUCGACCAAUGCCUCAGAUGGUGAAGACAAAUCUCCUCCUCAAACUAGACAAGGACAGAAAAAGAAACACAAAGCUGUUACCCCUUCAAGAAAAGGGAAAAAGGCAAGUCCUUCAAAAGCUGCUUCUCCUGGCAAUAAGGCGUCUUCUGAAGAGUCUCCUUUGAAGACUGCCAGCAAUGCUCUUGUUUUGGAAAGUCAUAACUCAAGCCCAGACAAUAAUCCACCCAAGGAUGAUGCUGGCACUGCUACUUCUGGUUUCAAAGACCCUGGCCUCACCAUUGAUGUUGAUAAACUUUAUGGUAAUUGUUAAAUUUCAACUUUCGUCAAUUAAAACUUUCGAAGGCUUAACCUCACGAUUAACUUGGCUUCGUUCGAAACAGAUACUUCUCAAGCUAGAACCCAUGUUCUCU